UACGUAGGGUGCAAGCGUUAAUCGGAAUUACUGGGCGUAAAGCGUGCGCAGGCGGCCGAGUGUGUGAGGCGUGAAAGCCCGGGGCUUAACCCCGGAAUUGCACCUCAAACUACACGGCUAGAGCAUUGGAGAGGGUAGCGGAAUUCACGGUGUAGCAGUGAAAUGCGUAGAUAUCGUGAGGAACACCAGAGGCGAAGGCGGCUACCUGGACAAUUGCUGACGCUCAGGCACGAAAGCGUGGGGAGCAAAAGGG
rnacentral:rRNA from 1 species